rnacentral:rRNA from 1 species
GACGAACGCUGGCGGCGUGCUUAACACAUGCAAGUCGAACGGAAAGGCCCUGCUUUUGUGGGGUGCUCGAGUGGCGAACGGGUGAGUAACACGUGAGUAACCUGCCCUUGACUUUGGGAUAACUUCAGGAAACUGGGGCUAAUACCGGAUAGGAGCUCCUGCUGCAUGGUGGGGGUUGGAUAGUUUCGGCGGUUGGGGAUGGACUCGCGGCUUAUCAGCUUGUUGGUGGGGUAGUGGCUUACCAAGGCUUUGACGGGUAGCCGGCCUGAGAGGGUGACCGGCCACAUUGGGACUGAGAUGCGGCCCAGACUCCUACGGGAGGCAGCAGUGGGGAAGAGUGCACAAGGGGCGGAAGCCUGAUGCAGCAACGCCGCGUGCGGGAUGACGGCCUUCGGGUUGUAAACCGCUGUCGCCUGUGACGAAGCGUGAGUGACGGUAAUGGGUAAAGAAGCACCGGCUAACUACGUG